AGUGAACGCUGGCGGUAGGCCUAACACAUGCAAGUCGAACGGCAGCACAGUAAGAGCUUGCUCUUACGGGUGGCGAGUGGCGGACGGGUGAGGAAUACAUCGGAAUCUACUUUUUCGUGGGGGAUAACGUAGGGAAACUUACGCUAAUACCGCAUACGACCUACGGGUGAAAGCAGGGGAUCUUCGGACCUUGCGCGAUUGAAUGAGCCGAUGUCGGAUUCGCUAGUUGGCGGGGUAAAGGCCCACCAAGGCGACGAUCCGUAGCUGGUCUGAGAGGAUGAUCAGCCACACUGGAACUGAGACACGGUCCAGACUCCUACGGGAGGCAGCAGUGGGGAAUAUUGGACGAUGGGCGCAAGCCUGAUCCAGCCAUACCGCGUGGGUGAAGAAGGCCUUCGGGUUGUAAAGCCCUUUUGUUGGGAAAGAAAAGCAGCAGGUUAAUACCCCGCUGUUCUGACGGUACCCAAAGAAUAAGCACCGGCUAACUUCGUG
rnacentral:rRNA from 1 species